rnacentral:snoRNA from 2 species
CCCCUCUCAGGGUCACACCUGGAGAGUUCCCAGUACUCUACCAGUCUCUACUACAGGAGGGAGAGCCAAGCAGAGGCAUAUCCAUUCCAUUUCCAGCUUGGGCAGUGGCUAGCAAGUGGAAGGCAAUCUGCUACAUGU